rnacentral:ncRNA from 1 species
GGGGAUAUGGCGAAAUCGGUAGACGCUACGGACUUGAUUGUAUUGAGCCUUGGUAUGGAAACCUGCUAAGUGGUAACUUCCAAAUUCAGAGAAACCCUGGAAUUAAAAAAGGGCAAUCCUGAGCCAAAUCCGUGUUUUGAGAAAACAAGGGGUUCUCGAACUAGAAUACAAAGGAAAAGGAUAGGUGCAGAGACUCAAUGGAAGCUGUUCUAACGAAUCGAGUUAAUUACGUUGUGUUGUUAGUGGAAUUCCUUCUAAUUCUAAAUUAGAGAAAGAGGGGUUUUAUACUUUAUACAUUUAAUAAACACGUAUAGAUACUGACAUAGCAAACGAUUAAUCACAGAACUCAUAUUAUAUUAUAAUAUAGGUUCUUUAUCUUUUUUAAAAAUGAAAUUAGAAAUGAUAAUGAUUAUGAAAUAAAAAACUCAUAUCAUAAUUUUUUUUUCAUUAUUGUGAAUCCACUCCAAUCGAAUAUUGAAUAAUCAAAUUCUUCAAUUCAAAUUCAAAGUUUUCGAGAUCUUUAAAAAAGUGGAUUAAUCGGACGAGGACAAAGAGAGAGUCCCAUUCUACAUGUCAAUACUGACAACAAUGAAAUUUCUAGUAAAAGGAAAAUCCGUCGACUUUAUAAGUUGUGAGGGUUCAAGUCCCUCUAUCCCCA